AAAGCGCCCGCCAGGACAGGCUCCUGGUGGGUUGUAAGGAGAACGGCAGGAAGAAGUGCUCCCAGGAAGCUGCCUAGCCACCGCCACCACCACAGGGUUCCAUCCAACUGACUUAUGGCAUCAGGAGCUUUGAAUUGUCUCAUCUCCAAGACUCUGAAGGUCCUUACAACACUAGCAAUCCCCUUCAUGCCUUAGGGGAUCUCUACAUGAUGUCCUGCUCAGAUGAUGGAAAGCCAGCCCCCUUCCUCUUGCAAACUGGCUUCUUGCACAGUCACCUGGCCUUAGACUAGAACCAUGGCUCUCAAAUUUCAGGGAAAGUAUGAUCAAGCAGUUCAUCAGGAAGCACAAAUGCCACAUGGACAGGGCAAUUCUUUUUCAAGAAGACCCACAGACUUCUCCUGCCUAGGCUCUGAAGAAGCCACAAAAAUCUGUCCUUCCACUAGGCUUUCAGGAGAGAUGAGCCGUCUCCAUUUCCAUCAGUCACUCAGCUCUUCCCCAACACCACAGACAACUGGCCGCCUUGGAGGCUCUUCCAAGUUUCCUGUAGCAGACUCUUUAGUUGUUAUAAUGUUCCAGAAACUGAAGUGGGAAUGGAAGCUAUCAAGUUUUCUGUACUCCAAAAAUUGUCUCCAGCACAUUCCCUGAGAAAGUGUUGCAUCCUUGCCCUGAACACCUUCCAACAGAAUGACUAAGGAAUACUCAAUGCUAGACCAUUCCAGCCUGUUCACCCACCAAGAGGUGGAACUUGUCUGAAGCUACAGGACCACAAUUGACCAUACCCUCCCCUCCUUCUUUGCUUUAUCUUUUUGGAACAUAUUCUGUUUAUUAUUAACAUUUUUAAACUAUGAGACUUAAAGAUAAUCUGUUCUAAGCCCCUAAUCUUGUACAUGACUAAAAAAAAUCACAAGGACAAAUAGAAUGCAUGCACACCAUCACUCUCCUAUCCUCUACCCACAGCAGAGAUCACUAAUCAAUUAAAGCAAUCUUUUCUACUGCACACAGGUGUGGCCUUAAAAUCCUUCUGGACAGAACGCUUCAGGCAGACUUUUCAUAUUUAAU
rnacentral:lncRNA from 10 species